rnacentral:lncRNA from 1 species
UUGAUGAUUAAGAUAGAAACUUUGUGAAAGCAGAAUGAAGAAUUAUAUAUGACCAUACAUAAUGGUCAAGGAGCCGAAGUGCCUCAACCACCACAUCAAAUCGCAACAAAGAUUCCAAAUUCUUAAACGAUUAUGUCUACUUCAAACAUGGGAAGUGCAUCCACUCAAGACAAAGAUUUGACAACAAUAACAACAAAAGAACCAAUGAUCAG